rnacentral:piRNA from 1 species
UCUGGGGUGAUACCUGAGCUUCAUUGCCUCA